CUGGAGAAGGUAUUGUAGCUCAUAUUCUGUCUUCAUACCUUGCUCUAUGCAUCUCUUCCAUUUAGCUGGUCAGUAAUAGAAGGUAAGGUGCCUAUUUUAGUUCUGUGAGCUGUUCUAAUAAAUCAUCAAAUGUGAGGAGAAAAUUGGAACCCUUGUUAUAGAUUUGGGGAAUAUAAAAUGGAGCAACCACUAUAGAAAAAAAUUAUAUAAAUUCCUCAAAAAUUUAAAUAUAGAAUUAUAUAAUCCAGCAAAUAUAGUCAGUAGAUAAACUGAUACUACAAUUGGUUCUAUAGAUAAUUAUAUGUAGGUGGAAACCUAGGAUGUGUAACGUGUAUCUGAAGUGGAGUUGGUCUUAUGGAAUUGAACCCUUUACCUGCAGGGUAUGUACUAACUCCAGGGAGUUAAUGCCAGAAUUGUAUUGAUUGCAAGACACUUAGUUUGUAUCCGAAAAAUUGGAGAAUUGUUUAGUGGAGAAUAAAACACACCUAUUUCACCAGAAGUGGUGUGAGUAAAACAGUUCAUAACUUCCUUAUAAUAAGAUAGGAAUAAUAAUAUCUACUUGGAAGAUUGAUUUUGAUGUUGCACUGAGAUAAUGGGACAUAUGAUAAAUAGCAUUUAGUAGGUAAAUGUCAUGGGAGGAAAGGGACGGGACAACUAUGUUAUUCUGUUUUGAUGAUAACGAGGGGAGAUGUACUCACCCUGGAAGAGAGGGCAAGACAGGAUGAGACUGAUAAUGGCCAGGAACAGUGGUUCACAGCUCUGGCUACACAUGAAAGUAAAUUGGAGAUUUUAGAUUCUUCUGAGGAGUUGCUUGUCAAACUGCUUUCCACAGAAGACACAUGGUUUAGGGCUCUGGAACUGGUUGGCCACCACCUCUCAGGCCUUUUUUUAGGAGAAAAAUCUCACUGUAGAACCGUAGGAAGCUGAGAAGCUGCUUCAACCUCCAAGGACCUCACUUCAAACAUAGCCUGAAAAUAAUAUGAAGGAAAAACAGUGCUGAAUGCUCUCUAAAUCUCUUCACUUCAGUGUGUAUUAGCAACAAGGCUGGGUCCCCAUUUCAGAGGAGGUGUUUUCCACUCUAGAAGAAAGAACUGGACAUUUUAUGUCAAUGAACAGGUAAACAUUUCAUGGAAGAUGAGAAGAAUGACUUCUGCAAGCUCAUAUCCACAUUGGGGGAGAAAAGAACAUGUGAGAAGACAUCAUGGAGGGCAGGGCUGUGUCCCUAGCCUCUUCACUGUGUGAUCUCAGGGAACUGAAAAUCAACUGUGAAGACAGUCCAGAAUACAAAAAGAGAUGAGGGUAACCCAAAAGGCAAGGGACCUGCCUAUGGGAGGUCUAUGGCUGUGGCAUCCAACCCCAACAGGAACAAAUGGAUGAGCUGUUCUGACAACUGAGCAGACCUUGAAUAAUGUGCACCUGAAGUCAACCACUGGAGAGACCUCAUGAAGCCAGACAGUGGUGAACCUGGGUGAUUCCAUCCACAGAAGUCACCUGGGAUCCAGUGGAGCUGGAACAAAUGGAGCAUGUCCAACUGAGGCCACCUGAGGGUAACAGAAAAAAUAUUCUGUAACAGGGAAUAAAUAAAAAAAAA